AUACCUUUCUCGGCCCUUUUGGCUAAGAUCAAGUGUAGUAUCGAUUCUUAUCAGUUUAAUAUCAUAUAUGCAGGUCAUCGGCUCACACGAUAUUAACUCAAUUUUUUAAAGGGGAGGGCUCGUCAAAGUAGCUUGCUACUUGGGCCUUCGCGUGUUGCCUUGGUCUUGCACUAUUGCUUGGUCUUGGUGCACCUCAC